rnacentral:rRNA from 1 species
AUGGCGGACGGCGGCGAGAUGGACGAGGAGGCGAUGAUGCGCGCCUUCUUCCCGACCUCAUUCGGCAAGGCGCCCACCCGCCCCAGCGCCGCCUCCCACUCCUCCACCCUCCGCAAGCCCCAAAACCCUAGCUCCAACCCCUCCACCUCUGCCGCCGCCGAGGAGGACGAUGGCGGUGGUGCCAUUGUCGGACCCCCUAGGCCGCCCAAGGAAUUGGCUCCUAUCCAGGAGGAUGACGAGGAGGGUGGCGGUCUGAUUGGGCCGCCUCGGCCGCCACAGCGGCCGUCUGCGCACGCGGCGGUGGAGGACGAGGACGGCAGCAUGGUUGGGCCGCCUCGGCCGCCACCGUCGAAGGAGGGGGAUGAGGAUGACGAGGACGAGGGCGACGACGACGACGAGGAUGACGACGACGAUGAUAUGGAUGAUGAUGAUGGGGAGGAUUUCGGCAGGAUUCCUCUCAGCAACGAAAUUGUUCUGCGGGGGCACACCAAGGUUGUCUCAGCCCUUGCUGUUGACCCUACAGGAUCCCGAGUGCUCUCUGGCAGCUAUGAUUAUACCAUACGGAUGUAUGACUUCCAAGGCAUGAAUUCGAAGCUACAGUCAUUUAGGCAAUUAGAACCUUGUGAGGGGCAUCAAGUUCGUAGCCUAAGCUGGAGUCCAACAUCGGACCGAUUCUUAUGUGUCACGGGUUCAGCUCAGGCCAAGAUAUAUGACCGAGACGGGCUUUCGCUUGGUGAGUUUGUUAAGGGUGAUAUGUAUAUCCGUGAUCUGAAGAAUACAAAGGGUCAUAUUUCUGGACUAACUGGUGGUGAAUGGAAUCCCAAGUCAAAAGAAACUAUAUUGACCUCAUCGGAAGAUGGAUCAUUACGUCUCUGGGAUGUUUCAGACUUUAGCAGUCAAAAGCAGGUCAUCAAACCAAAGUUAAAAAGACCAAUGCGAAUUCCUGUUACUUCAUGUGCAUGGGAUCAUGAAGGCAAGCGGAUUGUUGCUGGCGUGGGGGAUGGUUCCAUUCAGCUCUGGACCAUAAAGACUGGAUGGGGAAGCAGACCAGAUAUUCAUGUUGAAAAAGCACAUACAGAAGAUAUCACUGGGGUUAAGUUUUCUACUGAUGGGCAGAUUCUUCUGUCAAGAAGUAUGGAUAGUACUCUAAAGAUAUGGGAUUUGAGGAAAAUGAAGACUCCUUUGAAAGUGUUCGACGAUCUGCCUAAUAACUAUGCAGAGACAAAUGCUUCAUUUAGUUCAGACGAGCAACUUAUUUUUACAGGAACCUCUGUUGAGAAAGAUGGCAGAAAUGGAGGUCUACUUUGCUUCUUUGAUAGAAGGAAACUAGAGCUUGUAUCAAGGGUGGGAAUUUCACCACAUUACAGCGUGAUAAGGUCACUCUGGCACCCAAGGAUUAAUCAGGUGUUCGCAACAGUUGGGGACAAGAAGGAAGGUGGGACUCAUAUCUUGUAUGAUCCUUCUGUUAGUCAGAGGGGAGCUCUUGUAUGUGUUGGACGAGCACCAAGGAAAAAAUCUGUUGAUGAUUAUGAGGUGCAACCUUUAAUACACAACCCACAUGCACUGCCUCUAUUCAGAGAUCAACCAAGCCGUAAACGCCAAAGAGAGAAGAUGAUGAAAGACCCCCUCAAAUCGCACAAACCAGAAGCUCCUGUUAGUGGUCCAGGGUUUGGUGGUAAAAUUGGCACAACAAAAGGCAGCUUGCUGACACAGUAUCUCAUGAAGGAAGGUGGUUUAAUUAAGGAGACCUGGAUGGAUGAAGAUCCAAGAGAGGCAAUUUUGAAAUAUGCUGAUGCUGCAAAGAAUGACCCAAAGUUUAUUGCACCAGCAUAUGCUCAAACUCAGCCGGAAACCGUCUUCGCAGAGUCUGAUUCCGACGGCGAAGAGAAAAACGACUAUUAA